rnacentral:rRNA from 1 species
AGCACGUUAUGGUGGGCACUCUAAGGAGACUGCCGGUGACAACCGGAGGAAGGUGGGGAGUGACGUCAAGUCAUCAUGGCCCUUACGGCCUGGGCUACACACGUGCUACAAUGGUCGGUACAAAGGGUUGCCAAGCCGCGAGGUGGAGCUAAUCCCAUAAAACCGAUCGUAGUCCGGAUCGCAGUCUGCAACUCGACUGCGUGAAGUCGGAAUCGCUAGUAAUCGUGAAUCAGAAUGUCACGGUGAAUACGUUCCCGGGCCUU